AACGAACGCUGGCGGCAUGCCUAACACAUGCAAGUCGAACGAGAAGACCGGGACCUUACGCGUAUGGGGUUGUCAGGCGUCGGAACCUGCCCAUAGGUUUGGCCUAACUAUCCGACAGGGGUACUAACACCGGACAAUGUCUUCUGACCAAUGACAUAUCGACCUGGGUUGGUCCCGCGUUGGAUUAGGUCGUUCGUAGGGUAAAAGACUACUAAGGCGACGAUUCAUAGCUGGUCUGAGAGGCUGGUCAGCCACACUGGGACUCAGACGCGGCCUAGACUCCUACGGGAGGCAGCAGUGGGGAAUAUAGGACAAUGGGCGAAAGCCUGAUCCAGCAAGGCCGCGUGAGUGAUGAAGGCCUUGGGGUUGUAAAGCUCUUUUACCCGGGAUGAUAAUGACGGUACCGGGAGAAUAAGCUCCGGCUAACUCCGUG
rnacentral:rRNA from 1 species